GCGGAUUUAGCUUAAUGGUAUAGCGCUACGUUUCCUGCGUAGAUACGGAAGUUCGAAUCUUUCAGUCCGCC
rnacentral:tRNA from 1 species